rnacentral:rRNA from 1 species
UCAUUAGUUUUUUAAUUGAAAGCUUGUAUGAAUGGUUUGAUGAGAAAAUAUCUUUCUAUAUCUUAAUUUUAUGAAUUUUAUUUUUAAGUUAAAAAGCUUAGAUUUUUAUAAUAGACGAGAAGACCCUAUAGAGUUUAAUUAUUUAAUUAAUAUAAAUUUUUAGAAUUUGAUAAUUUUUACUUUAUUUAAAAAUUUAAUUGGGGUGAUUGAAAAAUUAAAUGAACUUUUUUUAAAUUAAAACAUUAAUUUAUGAAAAAUUGAUCCAUACUAAUGAUUAUAAGAUUAAAUUACCUUAGGGAUAACAGCGUUAUUUUUUUUUAGAGUUCAAAUCGAAAAAAAAGAUUGCGACCUCGAUGUUGGAUUAAAGUUAAUUUUAGGUGCAGAAGCUUAAA